UUUGACUCCAUUGUAUUGGACUUUUGUGUACUUUGGAUAUUUAGUUGGGAUUGAUAGCUCAUUCUUUUUAUGCAAACCAUUCUUGACAAUUUUAGACAACAUGAGAUAUUCCGAAAAUUUGAUGGAUCAGGCCCUAAUAAACUGUAGUAAACACUUGUGAACUUGAGUAGUACACCUAAAAUUCAAGCAGUACCAUGUUGUGGUGGAGGUAUUAGUACUCUGAGAAAGUCAUACUAUUUUAUGCACACUACACUUUCAUAUUUUCCUUGCUUUGAAAGUUGCCGUAUAUUAAUUAAUUACAUGUGUAUUAGCUUAGGCUUUAUUUCAUAUUUUUAGGAUCUCGUGUCAUA
rnacentral:lncRNA from 1 species